UUAGCUGACUCACUCAGGCUCCUACAGGCAGUGAGCUGCAAAGCAGACUGGAGUGAAGCGUCCUAGCUCCAAGCUCAGUGCUCAGUUACUAACAACAAUGGCAACGAUUUGUCGAGGACAGUCAUGUAUCUCCUAACGACGGGGAUACUACCUAGGAAACGUGCUGCUUGGCAAAGAGCACUUAUACAAACCCACACGCUACAGCGACUGCACACCCAGGCUAUGUGAUACAGCCUGUCGCUCCCAGGCUGCAAACCUGCACAGCAUGUGAUGUGGUGGAAUACUGAACUGAAUGCUGAAUACUGUAGGCAAUUGUAACAUAAUGUUUCCUUAGGCCCUGCCCUGGUGAAGAUGGCUGUUUGCUGGGUCACGCGAAGACAAAAGCCAGGACACAGGCCCCAGCCCUGCUAAACACUGCAGUGACUCUGCUCCAGGCUACCUCCUGUGGGAAUCUGCUUCACUUCACAGACGACCCCAGCAUCUUCAUUGAGGUCCAUGAAUGGACAUAGUUUCCAGGAUUUUUUGUGACCCAGGAAACCCGAACUCUCAUCAAAAAUGAAUAAGUAAAAGGAGGGAUGGGUAAGAAAAUUCUAAAAUCUUCUUUCUGAGUCAUUAACGUUCACUUGAAAUUUGUCGUCACUAUUUCCUACUUCCCUAGCAAAUUCCAACCUGAGUAGCGUAGGUGAUGGCACUAAGCCCUAGGAUGGAAAAAGCGCAAUUAAGCUCUGUAUUGGUCUGUUCUCUCACUGCUAAUAAAGACAUACACCUGAUACUGAAUAA